rfam:Marine metagenome 1091140128781, whole genome shotgun sequence.
CGGUGGGCUACCUCUCCCCAACGAGAGGCAUUUAUCUGGAAGGAUAGGAUAA